rnacentral:rRNA from 1 species
CAAAGGCAUGGUCCUGACCUUAUUAUCAGCUCUUACCCGACUUACACAUGCAAGUCUCCGCAAUCCCGUGAGUAUGCCCUCAAUCCCCUGCCCGGGGACGAGGAGCGGGCAUCAGACACAAAUUUUAGCCCAAGACGCCUGGCCAAGCCACACCCCCAAGGGAAUUCAGCAGUGAUAAACAUUAAGCCAUAAGUGAAAACUUGACUCAGUCAAGGUAAAGAGGGCCGGUAAAACUCGUGCCAGCCACCGCGGUUAAACGAGAGGCCCUAGUUGAUAAAACCACGGCGUAAAGGGUGGUUAAGGAAAGCAAACAAAUUAAAGCCAAAUGGCCCUUUGGCCGUCAUACGCUUCUAGGUGUCCGAAGCCCAAUUAUACGAAAGUAGCUUUAUUAAAGCCCACC